CCUACGGGAGGCAGCAGUGAGGAAUAUUGGUCAAUGGACGAGAGUCUGAACCAGCCAAGUAGCGUGAAGGAUGACUGCCCGAUGGGUUGUAAACUUCUGUUAUAGGGGAAUAAAACGUUCCACGUGUGGGAUUUUGUAUGUACCAUAUGAAUAAGGAUCGGCUAACUCCGUGCCAGCAGCCGCGGUAAGACGGAGGAUCCGAGCGUUAUCCGGAUUUAUUGGGGUUAAAUGGAGCGUAGGGGGAUUGUUAAGUCAGUUGUGAAAGUUUGCGGCUCAACCGUAAAAUUGCAGUUGAAACUGGCAGUCUUUAGUACAGUAGCGGUGGGCGGAAUUCGUGGUGUCGCGG
rnacentral:rRNA from 1 species